rnacentral:rRNA from 1 species
GCUACGGGCGGCAGCAGUGAGGAAUAUUGGUCCAUGGGCGUAAGCCUGAACCAGCCAAGUCGCGUGAGGGAUGAAGGUUCUAUGGAUCGUAAACCUCUUUUAUAAGGGAAUAAAGUGCGGGACGUGUCCCGUUUUGUAUGUACCUUAUGAAUAAGGAUAGGCUAACUCCGUGCCAGCAGCCUCGGUAAUACGGAGGAUCCGAGCGUUAUCCGGCUUUGUUGGGUUUAAAGGGUGCGUAGGCUGCCUUUUAAGUCAGCGGUGAAAGUCCUUGGCUCAACCAUAGAAGUGCCGUUGAAACUGGGAGGCUUGAGUAUGUUUGAGGCAGGCGGAAUGCGUGGUGUAGCGGUGAAAUGCUUAGAUAGCACGCAGAACCCCGAUUGCGAAGGCAGCCUGCCAAGCCAUGACUGACGCUGAUGCACGAAAGCGUGGGGAUCAAACAGGAUUAGAUACCCUUGUAGUC